UCAAGCGACUAAGUGCAUGUGGUGGAUGCCUUGGCGAUCACAGGCGAUGAAGGACGCGGCAGUCUGCGAAAAGCCCCGGGGAGCUGACAACGAGCUUUGAUCCGGGGGUCUCCGAAUGAGGGAACUCCAAGCUUUAGCUUGAUCCAUGCGUGAAUACAUAGCGUAUGGAGGCGAACGCGGCGAACUGAAACAUCUCAGUAGCUGCAGGAAAAGAAAUCAACCGAGAUUCCGGAAGUAGCGGCGAGCGAAACCGGAACAGCCUGAAUUCGAUAUUGAGAAAAACACUGGAAGAGUCUGGAAAGGCUCGCCAUAGUGGGUGAUAGCCCCGUACGGGACGUUUAUCUCAAGGUACUGAGGAUUCGAAAAGUAGGUCGGGGCACGUGAAACCCUGGCUGAACAUGGGGGGACCAUCCUCCAAGGCUAAAUACUCGUGAUCGACCGAUAGCGUACUAGUACUGUGAAGGAAAGGUUAAAAGAACCCCGGGAGGGGAGUGAAAUAGAUUCUGAAACCGCAUGCAUACAAACAGUAGGAGCCCUUCGGGGUGACUGCGUACCUUUUGCAUAAUGGGUCAGCGACUUAUGUUAUGUGGCAAGCCUAACCGACUAGGGGAGGCGCAGCGAAAGCGAGUCCGAACAGGGCGAUUCAGUCGCAUGGCAUAGACCCGAAACCAGAUGAGCUAACCAUGGCCAGGCUGAAGGUGUGGUAACACACACUGGAGGGCCGAACCUACUGGUGUUGCAAAACCAGAGGAUGAGCUGUGGUUAGGGGUGAAAGGCUUAACAAAUCUGGAGAUAGCUGGUUCUCCCCGAAAACUAUUGAGGUAGUGCCUUGUAUAUGAGCUUCUGGGGGUAGAGCACUGUUAUAGCUAGGGGGACAUGGCGUCUUACCAAACUAUGGCAAACUCCGAAUACCAGAAAGCUUCGUACAGGAGACAGAGCACCGGGUGCUAACGUCCGGACUCAAAAGGGAAUCAACCCAGACCGCCAGCUAAGGUCCCUAAUAUCAGCUAAGUGGAAAACGAAGUGGAAAGGCUAAAACAGUCAGGAAGUUGGCUUAGAAGCAGCCAUCCUUCAAAGAAAGCGUAAUAGCUCACUGAUCGAGUCCUUCCGCGCGGAAGAUGUAACGGGGCUAAGUUGAUAACCGAAGCUGCGGAUUCAUACUUUUAGUGUGAGUGGUAGGGGAGCGUUCUGUAAGCCUGCGAAGGUGGAUCGUAAGGUCUGCUGGAGGUAUCAGAAGUGCGAAUGCUGACAUGAGUAACGAUAAAGCGGGUGAAAAGCCCGCUCGCCGCAAACCCAAGGUUUCCUGCUCUACGUUAAUCGGAGCAGGGUGAGUCGGUUCCUAAGGCCAGGCUGAGAAGCGUAGCUGAUGGAAAUCAGGUUAAUAUUCCUGAACCGGCGUUGAAUGCGAUGGGGUGACGGAGCAGCCAGAGUGGACCGGGUGUUGGAUGUCCCGGCUUCCGAGCGAUGGGUGCCUGCAGGCAAAUCCGCAGGCGUAUACCCAGGACGAAGGAUCGGGUCUUCUUUUGAAGACGAAGCCACUGGAAGCGCUUCCAGGAAAAACCUCUAAGCUUCAGUUCAACGGCGACCGUACCGUAAACCGACACAGGUGGGUGAGCUGAAUAUGCUCAGGCGCUUGAGAGAACUCGGGAGAAGGAACUCGGCAAAUUGACACCGUAACUUCGGAAGAAGGUGUGCCUUUGUAGCUUGAUGGGAGAGAAACCCAAAGGGCGAAGAGGUCUCAGAGAAUCGGUGGCUGUAACUGUUUACUAAAAACACAGCGCUCUGCAAAGAUGAAAGUCGACGUAUAGGGCGUGAUGCCUGCCCGGUGCUGGAAGAUUAAUUGAUGGGGUGCAAGCUCCUGAUCGAAGUCCCAGUAAACGGCGGCCGUAACUAUAACGGUCCUAAGGUAGCGAAAUUCCUUGUC
rnacentral:rRNA from 2 species